rnacentral:lncRNA from 1 species
GCUUAUUUUUGUACUUAUUUUGUACAUAAUGUUGCUGCUACCGUCUCUUAUGACCGAAAAUAACUUCUGGACAUCAGAACAGCAAUUACUCACCACGAACUGGUUGAAGCUUUUCCUUUAACGAGUCCGACGUGAAGGAUAUACUGCUUUCCCGGGAACAGGCCCAAAUCCCUGCCAUUUGCAUAAAGAGAAGACGGAGAAAAACGGGGCAGAGGUCGGACAGCCUUCUGAGAAUUCGUAGGCGAGCGAAUAAAACCCCACUGGCAAUCCGUUCCAUUGUCAAACAUGCAAUAUCUGGAAAAUAAAAUCGAUGACCCGCGAGCAAGAUUAAACUACCAACGGGACAUUAAAAAUGGUAAUAUCUUAUGUUUCACCGACAUGACCAACAUACAGCUGGCGGGUUUUACACUGUAUCGGCAGGAUAGAACAGCAGCAUCUGGUAAGACAAGGGUUGGGGGUCUAUGUAUAUUUGUAAACAACAGCUGGUGCACCAUAUCUAAGGAAGUCUCAAGGUUUUGCUCGUCUGAGGUAGAGUAUCUGAUAAAUUGUUGACCACACUAUCUACCUAGAGUUUUCAUCUCUGUAUGUUUCACAGCUGUCUACAUACCACCACAGACCAAUGCUGGCACAAAGACCGUACUCAAUGAGCUGUAUACCGCCAAAAGCAAACAGGAAAACGCUCAUCCAGAGGCGGCGCUCCUAGUGGCCGGGGACUUUAAUGCAGGAAACUUAAAUCCAUUUUACCAAAUUUCCAAAUAAAUGUGCAACCAGAGGGGGAUAAAACUCUAGACCACCUUUACUCCACACACAGAGACGCGUACAAAGCUCUCCCUCACCCUCCAUUUGGCAAAUCUGACCAUAAUACUAUCCUCCUGAUUCGUGCUUACAAGCAAAAAUUAAAGCAGGAAGUACCAGUGACUAAAGCAAUAAAAAAGUGGUCAGAUGAAACAGAUACUAAGCUACAGGACUGUUUUGCUAGCACAGACUGGAGUAUGUUUCGGGAUUCCUCCGAUGGCUUUGAGGAGUACACCACAUUAGUCACUGGCAUCAUCAAUAACUGCAUCGAUGACGUCGUCCCCACAGUGACCGUACGUACAUACCCCAACCAGAAGCCAUAUAUUACAGGCAACAUCCGCACUGAGCUAAAGGGUAGAGCUGCCGCUUCAAGGAGCGAGACUCUAACCUGGAAGCUUAUAAGAAAUCCCGCUAUGCCCUCAGACGAACCAUCAAACAGGCAAAGCGUCAAUACAGGACUAAGAUCGAAUUGUACUACACCGGCUCAGAUGCUCGUCGGAUGUGUCAAGGCUUGCAAACCAUUAGAGACAACAAAGGGAAGCACAGCCGAGAGCUGCCCAGUGACACGAGCAUACCAGACGAGCUAAGCUACUUCUAUGCUCGCCCAGACGGAUUACCAGGACGUGCACUCCGAGCAUGCGUGGACCAACUGGCAUGUGGCUUCACUGACAUUGUCAACCUCUCCCUGUCUGAGUCUGUAAUACCAACAUGUUUCAAGCAGACCACCAUAGUCCCUGUGCCCAAGAACACUAAGGCAACCUGCCUAACUGACUACCGACCCAUAGCACGCACGUCUGUAGCCAUGAAGUGCUUUGAAAGGCUGGCCAUGGCUCACAUCAACACCAUUAUCCCAGAAACGCUAGACCCACUCAAUUUGCAUACCGCCCCAACAGAUCCACAGAUGAUGCAAUCUCUGUUGCACUCCAUACUGCCCUUUCCCACCUGGACAAAAGGAACACCUAUGUGAGAAUGCUAUUCAUUGACUACAGCUCAGCGUUCAACACCAUAUUGCCGCCAUAGCUCAUCACAAAGCUAAGGACCCUGGGACUAAACACCUCCCUCAGCAACUGGAUCCUGGACUUCCUGACAAGCCACCCCCUGCUAGUAAGGGUAGGUAACAACACAUCUGCCAAGCUGAUCCUCAACACAGGGGCCCCUCAGGGGUGCAUGCUCAGCCCCCUCCUGUACUCCCUGUUCACUCAUGACUGCAAGGCCAGGCACUACUCCAACACCAUCAUUAAGUUUGCCGAUGACGCAACAGUGGUAGACCUGAUCACCCACAACGACGAGACAGCCUAUAGCGAAGAGGUCAAAGAAGACCUGGCCGAGUGGUGCCAGGACAGCAACCUCUCCCUCAAUGUGAUCAAGACAAAGGAGAUGAUUGUGGACUACAGGAAAAGGAGGACCGAGCAGGACCCCAGGCUGUAGUGAAGCAGGUUGAGAGCUUCAAGUUCCUUGGUGUCCACAUCACCAACAAACUAACAUGGUCCAAGCACACCAAGACAGUCAUGAAUGAACCGCCCUUGCUGUCUCUGCCUGGCCGGUUCCCCUCUCUCCACUGGGAUUCUCUGCCUCUAACCCUAUUACAGGGGCUGAGUCACUGGCUUAUCGGUGUUCUUCCAUGCCGUCCCUAGGAGGGGUGCGUCACUUGAGUGGGUUGAGUCACUGACGUGGUCUUCCUGUCUGGGUUGGCGCCCCCCCUUGGGCUGUGCUGUGGCGGAGAUCUUUGUAGGCUAUACUCGGCCUUGUCUCAGGAUGAGGACCUGAGCCCUAGGACCAUGCCUCAGGACUGCCUGACAUGAUGACUCCUUGCUGUCCCCAGUCCACCUGGCCAUGCUGCUGCUCCAGUUUUAACUGUUCUGCCUGCGGCAAUGGAACCCUGACCGGUUCACCGGACGUGCUACCUGUCCCAGACCUGCUGUUUUCAACUCUCUAGAGACAGCAGGAGUGGUAGAGAUACUCCCAAUGAUCGGCUAUGAAAAGCCAACUGACAUUUACUCUUGAGGUGCUGACUUGUUGCACCCUCGACAACUACUGUGAUUAUUAUUAUUUGACCAUGCUGGUCAUUUAUGAACAUUUGAACAUCUUGGCCAUGUUCUGUUAUAAUCUCCACCCGGCACAGCCAGAAGAGGACUGCCCCCCCCCCCUCAUAGCCUGGUUCCUCUCUAGGUUUCUUCCUAGGUUUUGGCCUUUCUACGGAGUUUUUCCUAGCCACCGUGCUUCUACACCUGCAUUGCUGGCUGUUCGGGGAUUUAGGCUGGGUUUCUGUACAGCACUUUGAGAUAUCAGCUGAUGUAAGAAGGGCUAUAUAAAUACGUUUGAUUUGAUUUGAUGAAGAAGGCACGACAAAACCUAUUCCUCCUCAGGAGACUGAAAAGAUUUGGGUCCUCAGAUCCUCAAAAGGUUCUACAGCUGCACCAUCGAGAGCAUCCGGACGGGUUGCAUCACUGCCUUAUAUGGCAACUGCUCGACCUCUGACUGCAAGGCAAUACAGAGCGUAGUGCGUACGGCCCAGUACAUCUCUGGGGCCAAGCUUCCUGUCAUCCAGGGCCUCUCUUCCAGGCGGUGUCAGAGGAAGUCCCUAAAAAUUAUCAAAGACUCCAGCCAACCUAGUCAUAGACUGUUCUCUCUGCUACCUCAUGGCAAGCGGUACCGGAGCGCCAACUCUAGGUCCAAGAGGCUCCUAAACAGCUUCUACCCCCAAGCCAUAAGACUUCUGAACAUCUAAUGAAAUGGCUACUCAGACUAUUUGCAUUGCCCCCCUCUUUUACACUGCUGCUACUCUCUGUUAUUAUCUAUGCAUAGUCACUUUAAUAACUCUCCAUACAUGUACAUAUUACCUCAAUUACCUCGAUUAACCGGUGUCCCCGCGCAUUGACUCACUAGCCCCUGUAUAUAGCCUGACUAUUGUUAUUUUACUGCUGCUCUUUAAUUAUUAGUUACUUUUAUUUCUUAUUCUUAUUUUUUAAGGUAUUUCAAAUCAAAUAAAAUGUAACUGCAUUGUUGGUUAGGGCUUGUAAGUAAGCAUUUCAUUGUAAGAUCUGCACCUAUUGUAUAUGGCGCAUGUGACAAAUAACAUUUGAUUUGAUUCAAUUUGAUUAGUAAGACUGACUCACCCCAUAUUCAAGAAUGGCUUUUUUUCACUUUAUUCAGAUUACAACCCCUCACUUUCGGUUAUUUGAAAUUGAAAUAAUCUCCAAAAUAUCGCUGUUUUUAAAAGAAGCCAUAGAUAGUUGGUUGCAAUUUCAGUUUAAUCCACCAGAAAAGACAGAACAAAUAUUACAACUAAUAUUAUGGUUAAACUCAAAUAUUCUAAUUGAUAAAGAAAAUAUAUUCUGGGGAAAAAAUGUUUAAAAACAGUAUAGUCCUUGUAAAUUAUAUCCUAAAUAGGACUGGUGGAGAUAUGUCACACAUGCAGCUAACAAAAAUAUAUGUAAAUGACUGCUUUACUCAAAAUUUUGCAGCCCUACCACAAAAUGGAAGAGGCAAGCAGAAGGGGGAGUAAGUAAGGAACUUGGCUGUGGGCCCUGCAUUAAUUAAAGACCAAAAUUGGUUAAACAAAAUUGUGAUAAAUAACCAAGUAUACCAGUUUCAUUUAAGGACCAAAAAAUUUAGAAAGUUAGUAAGAGAUUUUCAGUGUACUGAUUCCAUGCCACAUGGUUUAUGAACUGAUACACAAAACGAUUCAAAUUUUUCCAUUUAAAUUAUUGUACAAAUUAUUGCAACCAAUAGAAUGUUAUAUAUAUAUAUGGGGGAUACAACCAUCCCAGCUCUGCAGGUUUUGCUGUGAAGAGACAUAAUCAUUCGAUCAUUUGUUUUGGUACUGUAGCUUGUUUUUGGUCAUAGGUUCAGGAAUGGCUGAAGAAUUGCAACAUUUACCUGGAGUUAGCUGCAAAUAGCACUACUGGGUGAUUUGAAAAGUCCUAGUCAAUCGAUCAAUAAUAUAAACAUUUUUGCUAAGAGUAUUAUUAUUAUUUCAAUUUACAAUCUUUAGAUACUCUGAGAAUAGAAAGGUUCAGAACUUUUGUGAAAUGUCACAGCACAGUUGACAAUGUAUGGCAAAUAGAAAUCAAAACUGGAUGGUCUUCAGAGAUACAUAGGAGUGGUUGAGGGUAGCUAAAGGAUGGGACUAAAAACAAACAAAAGAUAACGAUUGUAAAAUUUACUGUGUCAGUAAAAUGUAAAUAGUAUGUAUAAGAUGGAGGUAGAAGCCUAAGUGUUCUUGUCCACUAGUUUACUCCAAUUAGGGGAGGGGUGGUAGGGUUAGGGGAAAAUCUUAAAGGAAAAUAUAAAAAAUAUAUAUAUUAUAUAAAUAUUUCAAAAUAUUGUGCCUUAGGAAAGUAUUCAGACCCCUUGACAUUUUCCACAUUUGUUACGUUGCAGCCUUAUUCUAAAACAGAUUAAAUAAAUAAAAGUUCUCAGAAAUCUACACACAAUACCCCAAAAGAAGAAAAAAACAGGUUUUUAGACAUUUUUGCAAAUGUAUUUAAAAUAUUAAAAAUAAAUACCUUAUUCACAUAAGUAUGACCCUUUGGUAUACGACUCCAAAUUGAGCACAGCUGCAUUCUGUUUCCAUUGAUCAUCCUUGAGAUGUUUCUACAUCUUGAUUGGAGUCCACCUGUGGUACAUUCCAUUGAUUGGACAUGACAUGGAAAGGCACACGUCUGUCUAUAUAAGGUCCCACACUUGACAGUGCAUGUCAGAGCAAAAACCAAGCCAUGAGGUCGAAGGAAUUGUCCGUAGAGCACCGAGACAGGAUUGUGUAGAGGAACAGAUCUGGGGAAGGGUACCAAAAAAUUUCUGCAGCAUUGAAGGUCCCCAAGAACACAGUGGCCUCCAUUAUUCUUAAAUGGAAGAAGUUUGGAACCACCAAGACUCUUCCUAGAGCUGGCCGCCCUGCCAAACUGAGCAAUCGGGAGAGAAGGGCCUUGGUCAGGGAGGUGACUAAGAACCCGAUGGUCACUCUGACAGAGCUCUAGAGUUCCUCUGUGGAGAUGGGAGAACCUUCCAGAAGGACAACCAUCUCUGCGGCACUCCACCUAUCCGGCCUUUAUGGUAGAGUGCCCAGACGGAAGCCACUCCUCAGUAAAAGGCACAUGACAGCCCACUUGGAGUUUGCCAACAGGCACCUAAACUCUCAGACUAUGAGAAACAAAAUGAUCUGGUCUGAGGAAACCAAGAUUGAACUCUUUGGCCUGAAUGCCAAGCAUCACGUCUGAAGGAAACCUUUCACCAUCCCUUUGGUAAAGCAUGGUGGUGGCAUCAUGCUGUGGGGAUGUUUUUCAGCGGCAGGGACUGGAAGACUAGCCAGAGCCCGGACUUGAACCUGAUCGAACAUCUCUGGAGACACCUGAAAAUAGCUGUGCAGCAACGCUCCCAAAAUAACCUGACAGAGCUUGAGAGGAUCUGCAGAGAAGAAUGGGAGAAACUCCCCAAAUACAGGUGUGAUACAGGUGUGCCCCUCUUGUAGCGUCAUACCCAAGAAGACUCAAUGCUGUAAUCACUGCCAAAGGUGUUUCAACAUAAUACUGAGUAAAGGGUCUGAAUACUUACAGUACCAGUCAAACAUUUGGACACACCUACUCAUUCCAGGGUUUUUCUUUAUUUUUUACUAUUUUCGACAUUUUAGAAUAAUAGUAAAGACAUCAAAACUAUGAAAUAACAAAUAUGGAAUUAUGUAGUAACCAAAAAAGUGUAAAACAAAUCAAAAUCUAUUUUAAAUUUGAGAUUCUUCAAAGUAGCCACCCUUUGUCUUGAUCAUAGCUUUACAUACUCUUGGCAUUCUCUCAACCAGCUUCACCUGGAAUGCUUUUCCAACAGUCUUGAAGGAGUUCCCACAUGCUGGGAUAUUUCAGUUUAUUUAUUUUUUAUAAAUUAGCAAACAUUUCUAAAAACGUAUUUUUGCUCAGUCAUUAUGGGGUAUUGUGUGUGAGGAAAAAAACUAUUUAAUACAUUUUAGAAUAAAGCUGUAAUGUAACAAAAUGUGAAAAAGUCAAGGGGUCUGAAUACUUUCUGAAGGACAGUAUAUAUAUAUAAGGGAGAUUGGAAAUGAUGCAGACAAUUACAUUGAUGGAAGUCACAAUCUAUCUGCAAUAUUAAUGUGGAUCUACCCACAUAGGGUGUGUCUAUAUAGGUACAAAUAUUUUAGUUUUUUUACAUUUUACCCCUUUUCGUGAUAUCCAAUUGGGUGUUACAGUAUUCUCCCAUCAUUGCAACUCGCGUACGGACUCCGGAGAUGCGAAGGUCGAAAGCCAUUCGCCCUCUGAAACACGACCCUGCCAAUCCGCACUGCUUCUUGACACACUGCUUGCUUAACCUGUUGGGUCUAGGGGGCAGCAUUUGCACGUCUGGAUAAAAAAAAUGUAUCCGAUUUAAUCUGGUUACUAAUCCUACCCAGUAACUAGAAUAUGCAUAUACUUAUUAUAUAUGGAUAGAAAACACUCUAAAGUUUCCAAAACUGUUUGAAUGGUGUCUGUGAGUAUAACAGAACUCAUUUGGCAGGCAAAACCCUGAGACAUUUUC